rnacentral:rRNA from 1 species
GACGAACGCUGGCGGCGUGCCUAAUACAUGCAAGUUGAGCGCUGAAGGUUGGUACUUGUACCAACUGGAUGAGCAGCGAACGGGUGAGUAACGCGUGGGGAAUCUGCCUUUGAGCGGGGGACAACAUUUGGAAACGAAUGCUAAUACCGCAUAAAAACUUUAAACACAAGUUUUAAGUUUGAAAGAUGCAAUUGCAUCACUCAAAGAUGAUCCCGCGUUGUAUUAGCUAGUUGGUGAGGUAAAGGCUCACCAAGGCGAUGAUACAUAGCCGACCUGAGAGGGUGAUCGGCCACAUUGGGACUGAGACACGGCCCAAACUCCUACGGGAGGCAGCAGCAGGGAAUCUUCGGCAAUGGACGAAAGUCUGACCGAGCAACGCCGCGUGAGUGAAGAAGGGUUUCGGAUCGUAAAACUCUGUUGGUAGAGAAGAACGUUGGUGAGAGUGGAAAGCUCAUCAAGUGACGGUAACUACCCAGAAAGGGACGGCUAACUACGUG